rnacentral:rRNA from 1 species
GACGAACGCUGGCGGCGUGCCUAAUACAUGCAAGUCGAACGCACGAAGUUGAAGAGCUUGCUCUUUAACCAAGUGAGUGGCGGACGGGUGAGUAACACGUGGGUAACCUGCCCAUUAGAGGGGGAUAACAUUCGGAAACGGAUGCUAAUACCGCAUAGUUUCAGGAAUCGCAUGAUUCGUGAAGGAAAGGUGGCUUCGGCUACCACUAAUGGAUGGACCCGCGGCGUAUUAGCUAGUUGGUGAGGUAAUGGCUCACCAAGGCAAUGAUACGUAGCCGACCUGAGAGGGUGAUCGGCCACACUGGGACUGAGACACGGCCCAGACUCCUACGGGAGGCAGCAGUAGGGAAUCUUCCGCAAUGGACGAAAGUCUGACGGAGCAACGCCGCGUGAGUGAAGAAGGUUUUCGGACCGUAAAACUCUGUUGUUAAAGAAGAACAAGGAUGAGAGUAACUGCUCAUCCCCUGACGGUAUUUAACCAGAAAGCCACGGCUAACUACGUGCCAGCAGCCGCGGUAAUACGUAGGUGGCAAGCGUUGUCCGGAUUUAUUGGGCGUAAAGCGAGCGCAGGCGGUUCUUUAAGUCUGAUGUGAAAGCCCCCGGCUCAACCGGGGAGGGUCAUUGGAAACUGGAGAACUUGAGUGCAGAAGAGGAGAGUGGAAUUCCACGUGUAGCGGUGAAAUGCGUAGAUAUGUGGAGGAACACCAGUGGCGAAGGCGACUCUCUGGUCUGUAACUGACGCUGAGGCUCGAAAGCGUGGGGAGCAAACAGG